rnacentral:rRNA from 1 species
CAGCAGCCGCGGUAAUACGAAGGGUGCAAGCGUUAAUCGGAAUUACUGGGCGUAAAGCGUGCGCAGGCGGUUGUGUAAGACAGGUGUGAAAUCCCCGGGCUUAACCUGGGAACUGCGCUUGUGACCGCACAGCUAGAGUAUGGCAGAGGGGGGUGGAAUUCCACGUGUAGCAGUGAAAUGCGUAGAGAUGUGGAGGAACACCGAUGGCGAAGGCAGCCCCCUGGGCCAAUACUGACGCUCAUGCACGAAAGCGUGGGGAGCAAACAGGAUUAGAUACCCGUGUAGUCCCUGUCUCUUAUAA